UACGUAGGGUGCAAGCGUUGUCCGGAAUUAUUGGGCGUAAAGAGCUCGUAGGCGGUCUGUCGCGUCGGAUGUGAAAAUCCAGGGCUCAACCCUGGACCUGCAUUCGAUACGGGCAGACUAGAGUUCGGUAGGGGAGACUGGAAUUCCUGGUGUAGCGGUGAAAUGCGUAGAUAUCGUAAGGAAGACCAGUGGCGAAGGCGGGUCUCUGGACAGUUCCUGACGCUGAGGCACGAAGGUCAGGGGAGCAAACGGG
rnacentral:rRNA from 1 species